rnacentral:tRNA from 1 species
GCACGGGUAGCCGAGACGGUCAGGUGCUAGCUCGCAAAGCUAGAAACGGUGGUUCGAUUCCACCCCCGUGCUCCA